rnacentral:rRNA from 1 species
UACAAUAGUGGUAGGCCAAGGCAAGAAGUCUAUGCGUCUUAGCAAGAACAAGUAACCAACGAACUCCCCUUACAAUAAAAGAACCUCUAUGUCUCUCUUUAGAGAUGACUUAAUCCACAACUUCUACAAAAGAACACAUACACACACAGUCACGUUUGGGCCUAGUCAACGACGAGGUUUGGUCUGUUAAACCUCCUAUUUGCGCUCAGAGGGUCGCUACGGUACCUUCUUCUUUCAUAAGCGAGGUCUGCAUCUACAGAUCGAACGGACACACGACAUUGUAAUUAGUCACGUAGCCCGGGUUUCAAAAGAUAGUAACCUUGGAACUACUAAAUAGAGUAAACUUGUAUUAGAUUGGGGAGACUAAAAAAAGUCAUGUAUUAACAUGUGGAAGAUACGGGGCGAAUUAACACACAAGUAAAACAAUUAGUUCUUCGUAGACUAAAAUACCGACCGCACCACGAGGUCGCGCUGGCGAAGCACACGACGGAGCUCAGCGUACCGGUGGUACGGGCGCGGCUCCGCUUCCGGCGACGGUGAGAGUUGCGGGAGACGACGCGCGAGAGCGGCCGCCGCAAACGUUUCGGAACAGCACCGCGACGUUCACAACGGGGGGAGGAGGGGUUCCCGUUCCACUUCCUUCCACGUACACACCAAGAAGUCGUCGAGCGUAGCUCCUAACGACACAGGUUGGACGUCUUCAUACGGUUCUUCAAGAGCCUCUACUAAUUCCUGUACAGGGGCGUGAUGUUGCUCUCUAGACUCGACAAACCUUCAAUCAAAUCCAAAAACAACACCUAAGUGUCGAAGAGUGUACAUACUAGGAGAAUCUAGAAAUCUAAAGGUUUCUUUGAUUUACUUCUAUACCACUAGGCCACUCUUUUCCGCCUAAAGUUCAUCUCCAACGAC